CGGACGGGUGAGUAAUGUCUGGGAAACUGCCUGAUGGAGGGGGAUAACUACUGGAAACGGUAGCUAAUACCGCAUAACGUCGCAAGACCAAAGAGGGGGACCUUCGGGCCUCUUGCCGUCGGAUGUGCCCAGAUGGGAUUAGCUAGUAGGUGGGGUAACGGCUCACCUAGGCGACGAUCCCUAGCUGGUCUGAGAGGAUGGCCAGCCACACUGGAACUGAGACACGGUCCAG
rnacentral:rRNA from 1 species